AGUGAACGCUGGCGGUAGGCCUAACACAUGCAAGUCGAACGGCAGCACAGUAAGAGCUUGCUCUUACGGGUGGCGAGUGGCGGACGGGUGAGGAAUACAUCGGAAUCUACUUUGUCGUGGGGGAUAACGUAGGGAAACUUACGCUAAUACCGCAUACGACCUACGGGUGAAAGCAGGGGAUCUUCGGACCUUGCGUGAUUGAAUGAGCCGAUGUCGGAUUAGCUAGUUGGCGGGGUAAAGGCCCACCAAGGCGACGAUCCGUAGCUGGUCUGAGAGGAUGAUCAGCCACACUGGAACUGAGACACGGUCCAGACUCCUACGGGAGGCAGCAGUGGGGAAUAUUGGACAAUGGGCGCAAGCCUGAUCCAGCCAUGCCGCGUGGGUGAAGAAGGCCUUCGGGUUGUAAAGCCCUUUUGUUGGGAAAGAAAAGCAGCAGGUUAAUACCCCGCUGUUCUGACGGUACCCAAAGAAUAAGCACCGGCUAACUUCGUG
rnacentral:rRNA from 1 species